rnacentral:rRNA from 1 species
GACAGAGGGUGCAAACGUUGCUCGGAAUUACUGGGCGUAAAGCGCAUGUAGGCGGGCGGGAAAGUCAGAUGUGAAAGCCCUGGGCUCAACCUAGGAACUGCAUUUGAAACUUCCCGCCUUGAGUACUGGAGAGGAUUGCGGAAUUCCUGGUGUAGAGGUGAAAUUCGUAGAUAUCAGGAGGAACACCGGUGGCGAAGGCGGCAAUCUGGACAGUUACUGACGCUGAGAUGCGAAAGCGUGGGGAGCAAACAGG